UGCCCUCAUAAAAGAGAUCCUGGAGAGAUCCCUCUCUCUCCCUCUUUCCAUCGAGUGAGGAUAUAAGAAGCCAUCUGGAAACCAGGGAGAGAAACCUCAUGCAGUCUGACCGUGCUGGUACCCUGACCUUAGACUUCCAGUCUCCAGAAAGAGUUUUCCAAAGCAUUCAUUUAGCAGGGACUGAGUGAGACGAUACAUUGUAUAUUUGUCAAAAGAUGCUUCCAUUUUCACCUUGUCCUGGUCGACUGCAGACAGUCUCCUUGGAUGAUGCUUGUGACUCUUCCCCCAACACUUGAGUGGCACCUUGUGGUUGGGUACAUGGGUCCCAAAGCUGAGCCUGAAGCCGGUGCUGGGAACCGUCACCAAGGGCGUGGAUGCUUCCAUCAAGGCAGACAAAAUGUAAAGAACUAGCUUCAGUGGCACUAAUGAGACCAAUAGCAAACCCAGCCUGGGACGUCUUAGGAGACUGGUCACAAUUUCCAUUUCUCUCUCCUUGGUGUUUCUGCACAAUACAUGGGGAGUUUGGAGAGCAGGAAGAGGCCUCGAAAAAGACAUCCUGGGCUUCCUGAUAAUGUGAGCAUCAAGGGGCUCCACUACUUAAUUAUAAAGAAAAGUUUUAUUAUUAA